CUACGCAUGCGCUCAUGAGGCCCAGUGAUGCUGGUGGCGAUACGAUACAACGACCUAGGGUACACACCCAGUCGGAUGAACUCUACCCAUUACUGCGAUGGACGUGGAUUAUACUUUUUUUGUUAAUAAAUAACACCUUUUGGAAGUGUAUAA